AAUUGGAGGGCAAGUCUGGUGCCAGCAGCCGCGGUAAUUCCAGCUCCAAUAGCGUAUAUUAAAGUUGUUGCAGUUAAAAAGCUCGUAGUUGAAUUUCGGGAUUGACACAUCGGUCGUGCCUUAAGGGGUAUGAACUGGUGUAGCCAAUUUCUCACCUUCUGGAGAACCGCGAUGCCCUUAAUUGGGUGUCACGGGGAACCAGGACCUUUACUUUGAAAAAAUUAGAGUGUUUAAAGCAGGCAUUUUGCUUGAAUACAUUAGCAUGGAAUAAUAAAAUAGGACGGCAUGAUUCUAUUUUGUUGGUUUCUAGGAUCACCGUAAUGAUUAAUAGGGAUAGUUGGGGGCAUUAGUAUUCAAUUGUCAGAGGUGAAAUUCUUGGAUUUAUUGAAGACUAACUACUGCGAAAGCAUUUGCCAAGGAUGUUUUCAUUAAUCAAGAACGAAAGUUAGGGGAUCGAAGACGAUCAGAUACCGUCGUAGUCUUAACCAUAAACUAUGCCGACUAGGAAUCAGACGAUGUUAAUUUUUUAAUGACUCGUUUGGCACCUUACGGGAAACCAAAGUGU
rnacentral:rRNA from 1 species